CAUUGUUUUCGUUUCAUAGACUUACUCACUAAAUUUCUUAUCUGACUUAAGUAUCGGAGGGACGAUGAGAAUACAUCUCGUUGCUUUUGUUUCAGGUAUGAGAAGAUAGUUCGUAUUCAUCCGCAACCGUCAAGCUGAGUGUUCAAGUUUUCAGUUCGAGAUCUAUCAAGUACGAUUUUUGGUAACAUCAAGCCCCAUUCUUUUUAUAAGAAUGAAUUUUUGAAUUUUCCACAAACAGAAUAACUAAACCAAGGGGAAUUCCUCAACCAAUCAGAUUUGUCGAAUUCUUGCAUGUCCAAAGACAAACAAUUGAUUGGCUGUAACAGAAGCUGAAUAUGCAACAGCAAUCCAAGGUCGCAUGCCCAGACGAAAACUAAGCUCCCACUCACGAUCCAUGUACCUGCUUUCUAUUUUGGUGUCUUGUCGGGCCCAGAUAGCACCUGUAGUCUUGAUAUUUAGAUAGGGAGGAGAAAAGAAUUGUCACAUUUUUGUAUUCACAAAAGCGAUAGCGCUCGCUUUGUUUGUUCAUUGGAGAAAAGAGUUUAUGACCUUGUUGUUGUCAGAAUUCUUAAUUCAUGAGUUGUAGUCUAUUGAUGGAAAAUGUGUGGUUAAAAAAUAAGAUUUUUUUUUUUGAAUUUACA
rnacentral:lncRNA from 1 species